rnacentral:lncRNA from 1 species
GACUCUAUUGGAAGCAUUAUUUGAAGUAUCAUAUAAGAAAUCAUAGAGUCGGAUGUGAGCGUCGCUGGUUAUCAGUCAGUAGAGUUGGUUUUCCCGCCAAUCUCCAAGUCGGCGAUUAUUCUCCAAAUUGGCAAUCCCAAACGCCAAAUUGGCGAACCAAAUCACACAUUGGACCUAUUCCGAUCGCUAAAAACAUGUUUCAACUAUCAACUUUGCAAUUCGGGAAAAAAAAACAUCGCUACGUCGCUAUUUUGUCACUACAGAUCACAUAGUGACAUACCAUCGCAUCGCCUCACUAAUCGCUAUAGCAAUCGCUGUUGUCGUGACAUACCAUCGCAUCGCCUCGCUAAACGCUAUUGACAACAUUGGUGUCCGUCAACCUCGAAUACCUCUUCCUGGAGGCAUGAUUUCGUCAUAUUAUACUAGGGUAUAUAGAGCAAAUAAGUUUGUACAAUCAUGUUAGUCAAAACUAUGCAAAUGUAUGUGACCAUUUUAAGUUGAAAUGUUUCUGAAAUUCCUAAGGAUUCCCCAGUUUGCAAAUGAUUGAAUAUUCAAAUGAACAAUAUUCAAAAUAACAUGAUUUUGUGAUAAUAAACAUAUGCUUCUUAUAUACAUAUCUUUGAAACGGUUACAUCAGUCAAAAGCUAAUCCCAAAAGUCUAGUAGGGUUAGGAUGGAAAAGAUCUAUACAAUGUUAUCCAAAAUAUUAUGCCGAAAAAGAUAGCAAGGAUUCUAUACUCUUGCUUAUAACGACUUUUCCUUAUACCCCUAACCCAAGCCCCAGGGCACAACCCGCCCGAGUGAGUCUACCACUAACCAAAAAGAGAGAUUAGUACAGCCUGGAGUGCGUUAGCCCUCUGUUCUGCAACAUCUGCUAAGGCCUCUGGUUUGCUACCUGAUCCCCGAGCUCAAGUUUGGUAAUCCAGGCCUCAAGGGUCGUCAUUUCUAUCUCCAAAGAAUCCAGACGGUCAUAUACAGUCUGGAUGGCCUCCUCACGCAGAAUGCGUUCAUCCUCCAGGUACUGCAUCAUAGCCUCACGGGUUACAAAACUGUUGCAAAAAAUUUAUACUUUACACCCCUAUACAUUGUCGGUAUGACUAUUGGAAGAAGAUAAUUAAGUUGUAUUCAUAUCAUAGGUGACUAUUGUCUUCAAUCAAACUCAGCAUAGUUAGAAAUCUAGUUAAAGGUGUACCCUUUUUAAUAAAUACAAGACAAAUAGCAGAAAGAGAUUUGUGUUGAUCAUUUUUGUGUAUCAUUUAGUGGCCUUUUAAUGUGUGUAACAAGCAAAAUGGUGGCUAUUAGAGAGAUGGAGUCUAUACGCAAGUUCUGGUUAGUUCUAGACUAAAAUAAAAUAAUGAGUUUAAAAUUGUUAAAGCUUUAAAAAGAUUUAAUGGUUUGAUGCAGUAAAGCUUCAGGGGAUGUUAUAGGCAUAUGCCCUUUUUGUGUCUUAAUCCAGAAAUCAAGCUACACAAUCUUCCAUUCUCAACAUUUUAAGCUAAGCCAAAAUAGAGUAACCUGUUCAAGCCCAAAAAAGUGCUUAAGUUUUUAAUAAAUAUGCACCUACGUCAACUUGAAAAUAGACAAAAAAAAAAAAAGAUGAUCCAUAAAACUUCAGUCAAAACUAGGAUUCAAAAUAGAUGCACACAGCUUCUAAAAGCUUCACUCAAAACUAGGAUUUAGCAGAUAAAAAUUAGAUAUGAAGUUUGUACAAUAUUAUACACCUAGAAAAAUAUAUUUACAAUGGGUGUUUAAGGGCCAGUCUAGUCAGUAACUUAUUCCCAAAACGUGCAGAAGAAGCUAAAAUGUAUCUCAUGUUCAUGAAAGGGGGCGUUUUACAGAUAGAAAUAUCAAAAUAAGUAAAAUACGCAAAUUAAAUUAGCAUCGUAACCUUGGAGGUGGAGAAGCCCUCUUAGAUUGAGGUGGUGGAAAGCGAGAGCGAGAGCGGGAGGAUGAGCCUGAACCAGACCCCGCAGGAGCCGCCGGACGACCACGUCCUUGUUUCUCCAUGCGCAACAGUAGUGAUCAGUUCCUGAUUGGAAACCCCUUCGGAGUUCAGACAAAACCUAGCAAAGAAUUGGACUGCGAUUUCGAUUGUUAGAUGGAUGAUAGCUUGUGGGUAUACAUGUGUGCUUGGUUUAACUUUCUAGAAGUUUUG